GACGAACGCUGGCGGCGUGCUUAACACAUGCAAGUCGAACGGAAAGGCCCCAGCUUGCUGGGGUACUCGAGUGGCGAACGGGUGAGUAACACGUGGGUGAUCUGCCCUGCACUCUGGGAUAAGCCUGGGAAACUGGGUCUAAUACCGGAUAGGACCGUGCUUUAGUGUGUGCGGUGGAAAGUUUUUCGGUGCAGGAUGAGCCCGCGGCCUAUCAGCUUGUUGGUGGGGUAAUGGCCUACCAAGGCGGCGACGGGUAGCCGGCCUGAGAGGGUGUGCGGCCACAUUGGGACUGAGACACGGCCCAGACUCCUACGGGAGGCAGCAGUGGGGAAUAUUGCACAAUGGGCGCAAGCCUGAUGCAGCGACGCCGCGUGGGGGAUGACGGCCUUCGGGUUGUAAACCCCUUUCGGCAGGGACGAAGCUUUUGUGACGGUACCUGCAUAAGAAGCACCGGCUAACUACGUG
rnacentral:rRNA from 1 species